rnacentral:rRNA from 1 species
UACGUAGGUGGCAAGCGUUGUCCGGAUUUACUGGGCGUAAAGGGCGUGCAGGCGGUUUGUUAAGUGCAGGGUGAAAGCUCCCGGCUCAACUGGGAGAGUCCUUGCAUACUGGCAAACUCGAGGGAGGCAGAGGAAGUGGAAUUCCCGGUGUAGUGGUGAUAUGCGUAGAUAUCGGGAGGAACACCAGCGGCGAAGGCGGCGUCCUGGACUGGUACUGACGCUCAGGAGCGAAGCGAUGGGGAGCGUAGGACCGCGAUUCAAGAUACCCGUACCUCCAGAC